GGCUCAGGGCGAACGCCGGCGGCCGCGCUCACACACGCAAGUUCGAACGAAUGAAGCCUCGUCUGCUAGGCGGAUUCUCGGCGAAACGGGUCGAGUAAUACGUCGAGUCGACCUACCUUUGACUUCCGGGAUAAGCUCUGGGAAACUCGGGUUCUAAUACCGGAUACGACCAAUCUCCGCAUGGGGUGUUGGUGGAAAGCGUUAUGGAGUGGUUUUAGAUGGGCUCACGGCCUAUCAGCUUGUUGGUGAGGUAAUGGCUUACCAAGGCGACGACGGGUAGCCGGCCUGAGAGGGUGACCGGCCACACUGGGACUGAGGCACGGCCCAGACUCCUACGGGAGGCAGCAGUGGGGAAUAUUGCACAAUGGGCGCAAGCCUGAUGCAGCGACGCCGCGUGAGGGAUGACGGCCUUCGGGUUGUAAACCUCUGUUAGCAUCGAAGAAGCGAAAGUGACGGUAGGUGCAGAGAAAGCGCCGGCUAACUACGUGCCAGCAGCCGCGGUAAUACGUAGGGCGCGAGCGUUGUCCGGAAUUAUUGGGCGUAAAGAGCUUGUAGGCGGUUGGUCGCGUCUGCUGUGAAAGGCUGGGGCUUAACCCUGGUUUUGCAGUGGGUACGGGCUAACUAGAGUGCAGUAGGGGAGACUGGAAUUCCUGGUGUAGCGGUGGAAUGCGCAGAUAUCAGGAGGAACACCGAUGGCGAAGGCAGGUCUCUGGGCUGUAACUGACGCUGAGAAGCGAAAGCAUGGGGAGCGAACAGGAUUAGAUACCCUGGUAGUCCAUGCCGUAAACGUUGGGCACUAGGUGUGGGGGACAUUCCACGUUUUCCGCGCCGUAGCUAACGCAUUAAGUGCCCCGCCUGGGGAGUACGGCCGCAAGGCUAAAACUCAAAGAAAUUGACGGGGGCCCGCACAAGCGGCGGAGCAUGCGGAUUAAUUCGAUGCAACGCGAAGAACCUUACUAAGGCUUGACAUAUACUGGACUGCGUCAGAGAUGGCGUUUCCCUUCGGGGCUGGUAUACAGGUGGUGCAUGGUUGUCGUCAGCUCGUGUCGUGAGAUGUUGGGUUAAGUCCCGCAACGAGCGCAACCCUCGUUCUAUGUUGCCAGCACGUGAUGGUGGGGACUCAUAGGAGACUGCCGGGGUCAACUCGGAGGAAGGUGGGGAUGACGUCAAAUCAUCAUGCCCCUUAUGUCUUGGGCUUCACGCAUGCUACAAAUGGCCGGUACAGAGGGUUGCGAUACUGUGAGGUGGAGCUAAUCCCUAAAAGCCGGUCUCAGUUCGGAUUGGGGUCUGCAAACUCGGACCCCAUGAAAGUCGGAGUCGCUAGUAAUCGCAAUUCAGCAACGCUGCGGUGAAUACUUUCCCGGGCCCUUGUACACACCGCCCG
rnacentral:rRNA from 1 species